rnacentral:rRNA from 1 species
UACGUAGGGGGCAAGCGUUGUCCGGAUUUAUUGGGCGUAAAGAGCGUGUAGGCGGCCGCACAGGUCCGUUGUGAAAACUGGAGGCUUAACCUUCAGACGUCGAUGGAAACCGUGCGGCUAGAGUCCGGAAGAGGAGAAUGGAAUUCCUGGUGUAGCGGUGAAAUGCGCAGAUAUUAGGAAGAACACCAGUGGCGAAGGCGGCUCACUGGCCCGGUACUGACGCUCAUGUGCGAAAGCGUGGGGAGCAAACAGG